AGGUGUCAAAGCUAGCUGAUUUCCAGAUUUCACCUUUUGCCAGUGUAAAGCCUUGCUUUACUGCAUGAAGACACUGAAGGAAGUAUCCAUGCUUUUAUGUCAACACUUUGAGAUUACUAAUUUUCAGGCGGCGUGGUGAAGCAGGUUGAAGCCUCUGUGGUUCUGCUGGGUGAAGUCAAUGUUGGGCACUACGACCAGGAUCUCAAUGAUGCUGCGGAAAUCCUUAGCAAUGGCAUCAUGGAGCGGCGUGUCCCCGUAUGAAUCCUAACAGAGACAUGCAUGUACAACAUAUUGUGGUUAAUGCUGGAGAGGUAAGCACUCUGCAGCCGCUCACCUGGAGAUUGACGUCAGCCGCAUGUUCAGUCAGCACUCGCACCACGUCAGUGAAGCCCUUGUUGACAGCGAUGUGGAGCGCUGUGCACAUGGAGUUGUUCAGCACGUUGACAUUCGCCCCUUUGCUCAGCAGCAGCCGCGCAAUCUCCGCCUGGUUACUGAGUCAAAACAAACCAGUGCAGGUAAAUUAUACAUUCUUUUGGUUGGCAAGUCUUCAUUUUGAUCAAAUACUGAAUAAAUUGUGAACUAAAUUAGCAAUCAAUUAAUUGUUAACUGGAGUAGAUGGAUUCAAAAACUGAAAGAACAACAUAAUUGAGCCAAAACUGUACAAGAAAUAGAAAGAUUUUGCAUUAAAGAUGAACAGAAACCUUUGUCUGUAAAUAUGUUUUACCCAGAACUCCUCAAGCCUCACAGUUUCAGAACCACCUGGUUCAAAUUCUGUUAUAAAAAACUAAUAUUAAGGACCUUUUGCGAUCCAAUUAUUGAUUAAUCCAAAGAAUAGUCAACAGAUUUAUCCUACACAAUACUGCUUGUCAUGUGUUAAUGGUAGAAGCAUUUAUUUGGCUGCUCUUGCUUCCUUUGCUACAGAUGAUCAAAUGUGCA